rnacentral:rRNA from 1 species
AGAGUUUGAUCCUGGCUCAGGAUGAACGCUAGCGGCAGGCCUAAUACAUGCAAGCCGAACGGUAACAGGUCUUUCGGGAUGCUGACGAGUGGCGAACGGGUGCGUAACGCGUAUGCAACCUGCCCACUACCGGGAAAUAGCCCGGGGAAACCCGGAUUAAUGUCCCAUAAAGCAGGGGGUCCGCAUGGAUCUAUUGUUAAAGAUUAAUUGGUAGUGGAUGGGCAUGCGUAGGAUUAGCUAGUUGGUAGUGUAACGGACUACCAAGGCGACGAUCCUUAGGGGUUCUGAGAGGAUGAUCCCCCACACUGGUACUGAGAUACGGACCAGACUCCUACGGGAGGCAGCAGUAGGGAAUAUUGGGCAAUGGGUGAGAGCCUGACCCAGCCAUGCCGCGUGCAGGGAGACGGCCCUCAGGGUUGUAAACUGCUUUUCUACGGGAAGAAAGAGGAUCUGCGGGUCCAGUUGACGGUACCGUAGGAAUAAGCACCGGCUAACUCCGUGCCAGCAGCCGCGGUAAUACGGAGGGUGCAAGCGUUGUCCGGAUUUAUUGGGUUUAAAGGGUACGUAGGCGGGUGUCUAAGUCAGUGGUGAAAGCCUGCAGCUCAACUGUAGAAUUGCCAUUGAUACUGGACAUCUUGAGUGCAGUAGAGGUGGGCAGAAUUCAUGGUGUAGCGGUGAAAUGCAUAGAUACCAUGA